CCCUUAGAUGUCCUGGGCUGCACGCGCGCUACACUGAUGUGUCCAGUAAGCACCUAACCUCUUCCGAAAGGAACGGGUAACCUUUGCAAAGCACAUCGUGAUGGGGAUAGAUUAUUGCAAUUAUUAGUCUUGAACGAGGAAUUCCUAGUAAGCACAAGUCGUCAGCUUGUGUUGAUUACGUCCCUGCCCUUUGUACACACCGCCCGUCGCUCCUACCGAUUGAAUGUUCCGGUGAGCUCUUCGGACUGCGCGGUCUGCAGUUUCUGCGUUCCGUGCGGAAAGUUGCGCAAACCUUAACAUUUAGAGGAAGGAGAAGUCGUAACA
rnacentral:rRNA from 1 species